UACGUAGGCAGCAAGCGUUGUUCGGAGUUACUGGGCGUAAAGGGUGCGUAGGCGGUUGUUUAAGUUUGGUGUGAAAUCUCCCGGCUCAACUGGGAGGGUGCGCCGAAUACUGAAUGACUAGAGUGCGGGAGAGGAGAGUGGAAUUCCUGGUGUAGCGGUGAAAUGCGUAGAUAUCGGGAGGAACACCAGUGGCGAAGGCGGCUACCUGGCACAUAAACUGACGCUGAUACGCGAAAAGCGUGGGGAGCGAACCGG
rnacentral:rRNA from 1 species